UACGAAGGGGGGCUAGCGUUGCUCGGAAUUACUGGGCGUAAAGCGCACGUAGGCGGCUUCUUAAGUCGGUGGUGAAAUCCUGGAGCUCAACUCCAGAACUGCCUUCGAUACUGGGAGCUCGAGUCCGGGAGAGGUGAGUGGAACUGCGAGUGUAGAGGUGAAAUUCGUAGAUAUUCGCAAGAACACCAGUGGCGAAGGCGGCUCACUGGCCCGGUACUGACGCUGAGGUGCGAAAGCGUGGGGAGCAAACAGGG
rnacentral:rRNA from 1 species